rnacentral:lncRNA from 1 species
GUCAGAUGUAUACACGCGUCCCACAUCCAACAGCUCAUACUACCUAUAAAUACCCAAGGUUUGGUAAGAGGCAAAUGUAAUGAAACUCUUACUACAUAACACUCCAUAGCAAGCUUAUAUAUUUUCUCCUCCUCCUUAUCAUUGAUUUGCACAACCCCCGGGUACUAUUCCGACCACUUAAACCUGACUUGACCGUCGGGGUGUAUACGGCUGCCACCACCCUCGCUGGUCCCGACCGU